rnacentral:rRNA from 1 species
GACGAACGCUGGCGGCGUGCCUAACACAUGCAAGUCGAGCGGAGAUACAUUGAAGAGCAAUCAGAUAUGUAUCUUAGCGGCGGACGGGUGAGUAACGCGUGGGCAACCUGCCUCAUACUGGGGGAUAACACAGGGAAACUUGUGCUAAUACCGCAUAAUAUCAUUAUAGGGCAUCCUGUGAUGAUCAAAGGAGCAAUCCGGUGUGAGAUGGGCCCGCGUCCAAUUAGCUAGUUGGUGGGGUAACGGCCCACCAAGGCGACGAUUGGUAGCCGAACUGAGAGGUUGAUCGGCCACAUUGGGACUGAGACACGGCCCAGACUCCUACGGGAGGCAGCAGUGGGGAAUAUUGCGCAAUGGGGGAAACCCUGACGCAGCAACGCCGCGUGAAGGAUGAAGGUCUUCGGAUUGUAAACUUCUUUGAUGAGGGACGAACACAAUGACGGUACCUCAAAAACAAGCCACGGCUAACUACGUG